CAAGCAAGUCAAUCUUCACCUCCUCAUUGUCUUCAUUUAAUCGAUGGGUGGGUCUAUUGCCUGCCCGGAGUAUUUGGCAGAGGAGCUUUCCCCCAUUUGGCUCUAGGAAAGAGGGAUAAUCUGGGACCUCCAGAUCCCAAAGGAUAUGUGAAGCCCCCCACUGUAUAUUUCCUACAAUCCUGCCACCCCCAACAACUGAAGUACUGAUGGGAGGUGAAGUUGAUGAACCUCCUAGAUCCUUUCCUUGCUAGACAUUGUGAUACAUCAAGUUGUUUGCAACACAAAAUUAGUUCAUACCAGAUUUAAAAAAAAAAAAAAAAAAAAAGGAAAAAAAAAGGCAAUUUCCUUAAUCAUUAG